AUGGGGAUAACAGGAAUGGGGAUAACUGGAACAGGAAUAACAGGAAUGGGAGUAAUGGGAAUGGGAAUAACAGGAAUGAGGAUAACUGCAACUGGAAUAACUGGAAUGGGAACAGCUGGAACAGGAAUAACAGGAAUGGGGAUAACUGGGACAGGAAUAACAGGGAUGGAAAUAGCUGGAAAAGGAAUAACUGGAAUGGGAGUAAUGGGAAUGGGAAUAACAGGAAUGAGGAUAACUGCAACUGGAAUAACUGGAAUGGGAACAGCUGGAACAGGAAUAACAGGAAUGGGAAUAAUGGGAAUGGGGAUAACUGCAACUGGAAUAACAGGAAUGGGAACAGCUGGAACAGGAAAAACAGGAAUGGGGAUAGCUGGGACGGGAAUAACUGGGACAGGAAUAACGGGGGUUGUGCUGCUGCUCCAGCCCUGCCGGCCCCGCCAGGCCCAGCCCAGACUUUCUCUGCCCUAAUUCCCCGGAGAACCAGGCGAGGGCUGAUCCUGGUGGUUGUCUGCAAAAAUCUCAGGGAGGGGUUCGGGGUGACCUGCGGGGUCAAGGGUAGGGGCAUCAAGGUGUGAUGUGCCUGGACGGCCCCGUCCCUCGGGAAUUCCGUCGGGAUUUAGUGGGGAAUAUUUGCUCCUGGAAGAUCAAAUGGGGGGUGUGGGACAGGAGAAGGGCAGGGUUGUGGAGUGAUGGGGGUUUUUGGGGUUCCCAUGUCUGAGGUGUGGAGUGAUGGGGGUUUUUGGGGUCCUCAUGUCCGAAAUAUGGACUGGAGUGAAGGACGGGGAUUUUUGGGGUCCCCAUGUCUGCAGUGUGGGAUGAAGGACGGGGAUUUUUGGGGUCCCCAUGUCUGCAGUGUGGGAUGAAGGACGGGGAUUUUUGGGGUCUCCAUGUCUGCAGUGUGGGAUGAAGGACGGGGAUUUUUGGGGUCUCCAUGUCUGCAGUGUGGGAUGAAGGACGGGGAUUUUUGGGGUCUCCAUGUCUGCAGUGUGGGAUGAAGGACGGGGAUUUUUGGGGUCUCCAUGUCUGCAGUGUGGAUCCUCGUGUCUGAGAUGUGGAGUAAUGGGGGGUUUUGGGGUCUCCAUGGUUGUGAUGUGGAAUGAAGGACGGGGAUUUUUGGGGUCCCCAUGGCCGUGUCCUGGAGGGCAGUAGCUCCACGUCCCCUCUCCUCCCCGUUCACCACCCAACCUCAGCCCACUGCCACUUCUUAAGCCUCAUUUUUAACCCCAAACCUCAAACAUUUCACACAUCAGCACCAACACCAGGAAACUCCCUAUUCCCCCGGACCCAUCCCGCACUUCGGGGUUAAAAUCCUCAUUUCCCGUCCCGCACUUUGGGGUUAAAAUCCUCAUUUCCCAUCCCGCACUUCGGGGUUAAAAUCCUCAUUUCCCAUCCCGCACUUUGGGGUUCAAAUCCUCAUUUCCCAUUCUGCACUUUGGGGUUAAAAUCCUCAUUUCCCAUCCCGCACUUUGGGGUUAAAAUCCUCAUUUUCCAUUCCACACUUCGGGGCUAAAAUCUGCAUUUUCCACCCCUCAUUUUGGGACUAAAAUCCACAUCUCCCAGCUCUGAUUUUGGGGCUAAACCCCACAUAUCGCAUCCCCCACUUUGGGACUAAAAUCCUCAUUUCCCAGCCCUCACAUUGGGUCUAAAAUCCGCAUUUCCCAUCCUGCACUUUGGGAUUAAAAUCCUCAUUUCCCGUCCCAUAUUUUGGAGUUAAAAUCCUCAUUUCUGAUCCCACAGUUUAGGGUUAAAGUCCUCAUUUCCCAUCCCGCACUUUGGGGCUAAAAUCCACAUUUCCCAUCCCACACUUUAGGAUUAAAAUCCACAUUUUCCAGCCCACACUUUGAAACUAAAAUCCGCAUUUCCCCGUUCCACAUUUUGGGGCUAAAAUCCUAAUUUCCUCAAUCCACACUUCGGGGCUAAAAUCUGCAUUUCCCAGCCCUCAUUUUGGAACUAAAAUCCUCAUUUCCCAUCCUGCACUUUGGAACUAAAAAUCCUCAUUUCCCAUCUCACACUUCGGAACUAAAAAUCCUCAUUUCCCAUCUCACACUUUAAGACUAAAAUCCUCAUUUCCCACCCCGCACUUUAGGACUAAAAUCCACAUUUCCCAAAGCCCACACUUCGGGGCUAAAACCUUCAUUUCCCCAUCCUGCACUUUGGGGCUAAAAUCCUCAUUUCCCAUCUCACACUUUAGGACUAAAAUCCUCAUUUCCCACCCCCACUCGUGCCCCCAUUUUUGCCCACGCGUGCGGAGCCCCGGCCGCGCCGUCUGCUCGCCGCUCCUCCAUCAUUUCCAUGCGAACAAUGCCUCGUGUUUUUAAACGACUUGUGAAAGGCUUUUUUUUUCUUUCUUUCUUUUUUUUUUUUUUUUUUUUUUGUGUGUGCGGCGCUUUCUUUUUUUUUUUUUUUUUUUUUUUUUUUUUUUUUUUUUUUUUUUUUGCGCUCAAGGCCUGAAAAGGCUGCUCGGGGAGGGAGGGGGGGAGAAGAAGGAGGGGAGCCCCUCCAUUAGCUCAGUGCAGCAGCGAGAACAGCUGUGAAAAGAGCCCAGACCUUUUUCCCACGCCCAGAGGAGCGGAGCGAGGGAUGGAGCCCUCCCAGCGAGGUCAGAUCCCAUCACUAAUACAUCCACAGGCUGUGCCCUCAUUCACGUCACCCCGCUCAGGUUUGUUUAAGGCACACACACACUCUGACACUAAUUUCUCCUCGCCCUUUUCUCCCCCUAACCGGCCCCAUUUUAGUCGCCCGCUGCAUUAAAACAUUGGCGGAGCGCAGAGAGUGGUGGGUUGUUUUUUUUUUUUUUGGUGUUUUUUUGUUUUUUUGUUUUUUUUUUUUUGUUGUUGUUUUUGUUUUAUUUUUGGUUUGUUUUCCAGCCCUUCCCCCUCCUUUUUCUGGGUUUUCCCAACACCUGACCGACAAGGUCAAGAGGAGCUGGCGGCGGAUUGAGGUUGUGGCGAGCAGCUGCUGCGCUGGGCGAGCUCGGAGGAAUGCAUUUCCCAUUCUGCACUUUGGAAGUAAAAUCUACAUUUCCCAGCUCUCAUUUUGGGGUUAAAAUCCUCAUUUCCCAUCCCUAAUUCUGAGGCUAAAAUCAGCAUUUCCCAUCCUGCACUUUGGGACUGAAAUCCGCAUUUCCCAUCCCGCACUUUGGGGUUAAAAUCCUCAUUUC
rnacentral:lncRNA from 12 species